UACGUAGGAGGCAAGCGUUGUCCGGAUUUAUUGGGCGUAAAGAGCGUGUAGGCGGCCAGGUAGGUCUGCUGUGAAAACUCGAGGCUUAACCUCGAGCUGUCGGCGGAAACCAUCUGGCUAGAGUCCGGAAGAGGAGAAUGGAAUUCCCGGUGUAGCGGUGAAAUGCGCAGAUAUCGGGAAGAACACCCGUGGCGAAGGCGGUUCUCUGGGACGGUACUGACACUGAGACGCGAAAGCGUGGGGAGCGAACAGG
rnacentral:rRNA from 1 species